rnacentral:lncRNA from 1 species
AGAGGAUUUUGACUUUGCUUCUUUUCCAGAGAGAUCUGGGGCUGCCUAGCCCAGCCCUGCUGCUGGGGGCGUUGCUGCGAGGUGGCAAGUGGCCCACUGGAACAAAAGGCUCAUUCUGGCUCUGGCCAGGCUCUCGCACUGCGCAGCUCCCAAUUGUCCUUUGGAAAGAGCAGUGCUGGAGUGCCCAGUUUGUGCCCUCCUGUGGGGCACUGUCAUUCUAGAUAUUUUAGUCUUUUGUCAUGUAUAAUAAUAUAUCUGUACUAUUUGCAAGCAGUUAGUCAUCUGCUAGCCAGAAUGUUUUUUUUUUCCCUUGAGGAUGUUUAGGAUCACAUAACUCUUACAGGCAGAGGGGAAAAAAUCUGAAGAUGUUCAGAUUAGUCAUAUCACUGCUGCAGUUAUCUUCAUCCAGAGCCUUUUCUUUCUUUCCCCGUUAGAGCUCCUGAACUUGAGGGCUGUAUCUCAUCUCCAGCCUUUCCCAGAAUGACAAUUAUCAAGGCAAGCUGGAAGGCAAAGAGGAGUCCAGGUUGUACAGCCUCUAUCCAGUUAUUAUAUUUCUUUAUUUACUUGGGUUUUUUUGUUGUUGUUGUUUUUUGUUUUGUUUUUUUGUUUGUUUUGUUUUUUUAACACUUGAUAAAUCAUGCCAUGGAAAGCUGGGAAUGGGAGCAUAUGACCUGCUCUCCUAUUCCUGCCUUCCAGCAGCAGUUCUGGUUUCUCUGGGCACCCAUUCCCCUUCAGAAUGAGGUGUAAUAACCCCAUUUCUGUGUCUGUCAGAGGAGCUCUAAAGUUUUCUUCUUGCCUGAGAGCUCUGUCUGACCCCAGGCUAUGAUACCACUGCUGCUGUAAAGCACCUCCUGAUCACCCACAGGCUUUUAUCCUCAGAAAAUCCCCCUGUGGCAUUGCUUCCCCUGUUGAGGAGAGCCCUGGACUGUGGCCCCAGGUUGGCCUUUUUCUCCUGUGAAAUGCACGAUCCCCCCACAGCAGGGAAAAGCCACGUUUCAAGAGGUCGGGGAAGAGACUGCAAACCGGAAAACAAGGUAACGAAGAAACAGGAAAAACCUACGGAAAGAGAAAUGUCUUCACCUCCUCCCUCCUCUGCAGGGCACUCUUCUUCCUUUCGUUUUCUUUCUAAGCCGUAAAAGCGAAUACAAAACAUUAGAAAGGAGGCGGCCCGCUCCCCCUGCGCAAGGCGCGGCACAGGGGACAGGCCAAGGUGACACGGGGGGUGCCACGUCAGCUGUGCCCGAGCCUGCCAGC